rnacentral:rRNA from 1 species
AGCGAACGCUGGCGGCAGGCUUAGCACAUGCAAGUCGAGCGGGCACUUUCGGGUGUCAGCGGCGGACGGGUGAGUAACGCGUGGGAACGUGCCCUCUGGUUCGGAAUAACUCAGGGAAACCUGAGCUAAUACCGGAUACGCCCUUUUGGGGAAAGGCUUGCUGCCGGAGGAUCGGCCCGCGUCUGAUUGGCUAGUUGGUGGGGUAACGGCACACCAAGGCGGCGAUCAGUAGCUGGGCUGAGAGGAUGCUCCGCCACACUGGGGCUGAGACACGGCCCAGACUCCUACGGGAGGCAGCAGUGGGGAAUAUUGGACGAUGGGCGCAAGCCUGAUCCAGCCAUGCCGCGUGAGUGAUCAAGGCCUUAGGGUUGUAAAGCUCUUUUAUCCGGGACGAUAAUGACGGUACCGGAGGAAUAAGCCCCGGCUAACUUCGUG